CCAGCACGAGCCAUUCGACACAAACUACUGAUUCAAUCCAGAUGAAACAGCGCUGACAUUCUCAACAUCCCUGAAGUGUGAAACAGGAAAAACACUGCAGAAAACAUCCAGUUUAAUCCACUAAGGAUUAACUGUAGUCACAUAAACUGUAGUUAGGGUAUUGUGGCAGAAAGAUUCAGGAGCAUUAGAACGGCGUGAGGUCCAGGAGACGAGAGAAACAGCGCUGUUGUGAAGAAGAUCUGCAGCACUGAAUCUGGACUGACCUCGGAUUCCCACCAUCAGGAUCCUCACCUCGUCAUCAUCAUCAUCAUGAGAAGCU
ensembl:lncRNA